AAGAGCUGUGCGUUGUCCUCGCGGGGUGUUUAGGAUGUGAGCGCAGCUCCCGGCGAUGGGAUGGGGAUGGGAAGCACCGCAGCUCAGCCCACGCGUGCGGGACUUCUGGGUGGAGAGCAGGACUUCAACCUCGCUGCUGGCCCCCAGAAGUCAGGAAAUAACGGCGUUUUGGUGAAGCCCCAAAUCUGGAGACUCUGAGAGUCUUCAGAUGUGGUGCGGAUUUGGACCCGGUGGUGGUGGAAUGGAGGACAAAGCACCAAUGGUGUGAAUGUCUACAGUUACAGCACCCUGCUCCCUGGCUGACCUCCAUAUGAGGAUAAACUGGUUGAGACAGAAGAAUCACCCAUGCAAAGCCCUGCAGCGUGCGAGCAAGCUCUCCACCAGCAGUGGAGAAACCCCCCGUGCUGCACUGGUUUGCAAGUCUUGCAAUGGGAAUUGCUAACUCAGCCCAUCCGCACUGCAGGGAACGCUCGUGCAUCCCCAGGGAGUGCGGGAAUGGGUUGGGGUCUGGGAGUAAUUACACAGGGAAAGCAGAGCCCUGCUGGGCUGCUUCAAGCAGCGACGUGUCACGGCUGGGAGCGGAGGCAUUUUGCAUACCAACUUCAGAUGCCAUCAACAAUAACGCCGGGGGAGAAAGGCACAGCGGCUGCACUUGUGUGGCCUGCUCUGCUCUUGGUUUUCUGUUGCAUCAGUAGGAAAAGGGCAAAUACAGCCAGAAGACCACCCUUCCAACCCAACCAUCCCGUGGUUCAAUGAUCUUCCAGGACCCUUCCAACCCAACUCAUUCUAUAGUUCUUUGACCUUUAAGGACCCUUCCAACCCAACCAUCCCAUGGUUCCAUCUUUAAGGACCCUUCCAACCCAACCAUCCCAUGGCUCUAUGAUCUCUAAGGUCCCUCCAAAAACACCCCACCUGGUGGUUCUACGAUCUUCACGGUCCCACCACAGGCUGUGAAGAAUGGGCAAAAGGCAGAAAUUGCACCCAAAAGGGGACGUCCCGGAGGGUCGGCUUUGUGUGUCACGUCCAUAAAUCAGCGCUCUCUGUGGGCCGUCCCCGCGCGCUGCGCCAUUCGGGUUGGGUCAUAAAUAGGGCCGUGGGUCCUUUCAGGUUGAUAAAGGCAGAGGGGGCGGAGCAGUGGGGAGGCGUUGCGACCACAUAACACUUUCAUGGCGCUGUCAGAAUAAAGAAUACUGGUGCUGUUGACCCCUUCUGCAGCA